AAGCAAGGGGGGCAGCCGCCCCCCCUGCCCCCCCAGUUCCGGCGUCCCUGAGCUUCAUUAUGCGACCGAAAUUCGACGUACAAAACAGGUCUUAAGCCCUGGGCAAACUAGUAAAUAUUGUUGCGGAAACAUUGUUUCCUACCAAUGUUUCGCCAUGUUUCCCAGAGUGGGCAAACACUAGGAAACAUGAGUGAGAAACAUAGGGAAACAUCAAAUGUUUCUGAAUUUGCUAGGAAACAUUUUUGCUUCUCGGGAAGCAAAUUUUGUUUCCGCAACAAUGUUUCCACGGGUGGGCAAACAGGGAAACAUUUGAGGAAACAUCGAGAAUCACAAAUGUUUCCACAACAAUGUUUCCUAGUUUGCCCAGGGUUUUAGUUUUUUAGCAAUUUAAUGAAAAGUUAAUUACCAGAUCGUGGUGAUCUGUCUUGUUCAUACGUAACAUAAUGACUUAUACAGUCAGUCUAUUUGUUAAAAGCUUCCCUGAAUGUAAUUAACG